AGCAGGUUAUGGCCCCACUCCAGGGCCAUUAGUGGGCAUCGAAGAGGAAGAAUCCGGUGGCCUUCCGGUCUAUGAAACUGCCGGUAUGUUAUCAGAAAUGUUCAAUUUCCCUCCUGGAGGGCCUGCCACCGCUGCUGAAUUGUUGGACCAGCCGUUGCAGUCAAAUUACCGGACGGCGCAUCCGCGGCAGCAGCAGCCAGUAACGACCAACGAGUGGUACAGCAACAACAGGCAAGGAAUGGUAGGAGUUUUGGGUCCUUUAGGGGAUUCAAAGAAUCAUAAUAGCCGCGAAAGUUUAGCUCACCAUCAUCAGAUUACAGGCAUUAAUGCAGAUUCGGCUGCUGCCAUGCAGCUUUUUCUCAUGAAUCCACAGCCAAGAUCACCAUCUCCUGCUCCUUCCCAUCCUCAUCAUCCUCCUGCGACUUCUUCUACACUUCACAUGUUGUUACCAAACCCAUCUACUUCUCUUCAAGGGUUUAGCGUGUCCGGUCCUGGAGGAGCUUUCGGCGCAAGUAGCGAGAUAUCUCCCCCACAAUUCACAUGGGUUCCUGGUAGUGCUCAUGAAGGAGCCAACACUGGUGCUCAGCUCAAUAACCCAGCUGAGAUUGGCAGUGUUGUGGAAGGGCAAGGACUCUCUUUGUCAUUAUCUUCAUCGUUGCAACACUUGGAAGCAGCCAAAGCAGAAGAAUUGCGGAUGGGGGAGGGCGGAUUAUUAUAUUACAAUCAAGGAGGGGGCUCUUCUUCUGGUGCUGCUCCAUAUUACAAGAAUUUGGGUGGUCAACACCAGGCAUUGCAUUUGCAAGCGGGAAUUGGGCAAAAUCACCAAGUACAUGUUGGGUUUGGAUCAUCUUUAGGAGUGGUUAAUGUUUUGAGGAAUUCCAAGUAUGUGAAAGCAGCCCAAGAGCUGUUAGAAGAGUUUUGCAGUGUGGGAAGGGGUCAAUUCAAGAAGAACAAAUUUACUAGGCAAAACACAAACCCUAGUUCCAAUAAUCCUGGCGGCAGUAGCGGCGGCGGCNNNNNNNNUCAUCUGCAACAAAAGAUCUCUCUCCUUUGUCAGCUGCCGAUAGGAUUGAGCACCAGAGGAGG
rnacentral:misc_RNA from 1 species